rnacentral:tRNA from 2 species
GCCGGUGUAGCUCAAUUGGUAGAGCAACUGACUUGUAAUCAGUAGGUUGGGGGUUCAAGUCCUCUCGGGCGCGCCA